rnacentral:rRNA from 1 species
CCCUUAGAUGUUCUGGGCCGCACGCGCGCCACACCGAUGCAUUCAACGAGUUUCUUCCUGGUCCGAGAGGAAUGGGUAACCUUUUGAAAGUGCAUCGUGAUAGGGAUAGACUAUUGCAAUUAUUGGUCUUCAACGAGGAAUUCCUAGUAGACGUAGUUCAUCAGACUGCAUCGAUUACGUCCCUGCCCUUUGUACACACCGCCCGUCGCUCCUACCGAUUGAAUGCUCAGGUGAGCCAUUCGGACUUUCAUCAUGCUGGUUUCCAGUUUUGAUGAAGGAAAGUCUUGCGAACCUUAUCAUUUAGAGGAAGGAGAAGUCGUAACA